AUGAUGCCCAGCUUGCUGGGUGGAUUAGUGGCGAACGGGUGAGUAAUACGUGAGUAACCUGCCCUUGACUCUGGGAUAAGCCUGGGAAACUGGGUCUAAUACUGGAUACUACUUCUUGCCGCAUGGUGGGUGGUGGAAAGGGUUUUACUGGUUUUGGAUGGGCUCACGGCCUAUCAGCUUGUUGGUGGGGUAAUGGCUCACCAAGGCGACGACGGGUAGCCGGCCUGAGAGGGUGACCGGCCACACUGGGACUGAGACACGGCCCAGACUCCUACGGGAGGCAGCAGUGGGGAAUAUUGCACAAUGGGCGGAAGCCUGAUGCAGCGACGCCGCGUGAGGGAUGACGGCCUUCGGGUUGUAAACCUCUUUCAGUAGGGAAGAAGCGAGAGUGACGGUACCUGCAGAAGAAGCGCCGGCUAACUACGUGCCAGCAGCCGCGGUAAUACGUAGGGCGCAAGCGUUGUCCGGAAUUAUUGGGCGUAAAGAGCUCGUAGGCGGUUUGUCGCGUCUGCUGUGAAAGCCCGGGGCUCAACCCCGGGUCUGCAGUGGGUACGGGCAGACUAGAGUGCAG
rnacentral:rRNA from 1 species